UAAUAUAGAGAGACACACGCAAAAAAAAACGAGAAAAGGGGCUGGGGAUCGAAAAUAAAAAAGAGCACCACAAAGGGGGAACGAAAGAAAAUAAAGAAAAUGUCCUAGACUCCUCCAUUUUAGAGCCUUCUUCCUCCAUAAAAACACCAAUUCCCACCAUGAAACUCCACAAAGUUGACCUUCACUGUCCAGCCCCAAAACUCCAUUGAAAUCUGACUUUCUCCACCCCUGUUUCAACCCCAAAACUAUCCAAACUCUAGCAAAAAAAAACGCACAAAAUUCCAGCUCCAAAAUUAUUGCGCUGCUGCUUCUAAACAGCCACCAAACAGCCUCGAAAUAGCUUCAGAAGUGCAACAAAACUUGCUGCGAAAUAAGCCCAAAAACGACCCUGAAGCAGUAGCUUAGAUCGCUGUUAAUUCCCUCGCGAAACAAUGCCAAAAUAUUACCAAAAUUCCAGCCGAAUAAUCCUUAAAAUACAAAAUUUCAGUCGAGUUCGAGGUUGCGGACGAGGUCGUAGUUUGUUAGCUCCGUUCAAGUCCACCUGAAGUUCAUGUUAUCAUGUAUAUUGGAGGAUUUGUGUUCAUCUAUAAAAGAUUGGGAUCGAAGGCUUGUGAUUUUGUUGUUGCAAAAAUUCGGAUUCACUAGAGUUAAUUGUACAGGAUAUGAGGCAGGUAUAUCUAGCUAUUAGACUGGUGCGCACCCCUGAUUCAUAGACCGAGACUUCCACGGUGAGCUGCUCCCUUCCGGUGCCGUUCAGCAUCUUGAUGAGGUCUUUCAUUACUUUUGUUGUCUAUUCUAUCCCGGAUAGUAGGAUAGUAUUAUUCUUUUGUACAUUCUACUAGUUUCCCAUUACUUGUGACACCAUAUCUUGGCACACACAUUAGUAGACAGUUAUUUUGGGUCGUAUAAUUAUUAUUAAAUAUUGCUUAUCAUCA